rnacentral:tRNA from 1 species
GCCGCGGUAGUAUAGCCCGGUCAAGUAUGCGGGCCUCUCGAGCCCGUGACGCCGUUGGCGCGGGAGACCCGGGUUCAAAUCCCGGCCGCGGCACCA